rnacentral:lncRNA from 1 species
UAAUUGUGGCACCAUUAUUUGCUUUUUCUGUUUAAUUUUUGUUUUGGGACAUUUACAGAAGGCUAGCACACAACCAAUAUUUCAAUCAAGAAAGGGAACUUUAAUUCAUUAGUUUAUGUUAAGGCUGUAUCCGGUUCCGGUUCUGGGUCUAUUUGGGUCUGCGAUUCUGGUUCUGGGUCUAUUUGGGUCGCCACAACCCAAUACAUUCACCGACAAAUUUUGCUAGUGAAUAUUGAGCAUAUGAAACAAUUUUGGUGAGGAACAAUAGAAAAUAUCCUGGCUAAAAUUCAAUUGAUUUCUUGCAGAACAUCUCGCUGGUCCAUCUACAAAAACCAGUUGUAAACUAGUCUUUCCUAUCAAAGCUGUAACUAAAAUUAAAAAAACAUAAUAAAAUCUCAACUACAUUGAUGAUGCGGCAGUUGUACUUCAUCCGCUUCUGAGCACACCCAUGGGGCUUCUUCUUCUUGUCCUAGUUUGCUACUUCAGGUUUUACCCUUUCACUUUCCCGCAAGAGCUAGUGAUCAGUAAGCCUUUCCCGUGGUUGAUUUCUGGUUGUUUGCCGAUGGAAAAGUUGGAAGGGUUUGGAGUUGUGAAGGUCAGAAUGAAAAAAAUGAAGAAUUAAUUGGUUUGGGCGAGUCAAAU